GCUGACACAGCCCAGCCAAUCUCCAGCAGACCCUCCCUCCCAGACCCUCCCACCUCCUGGACAGCAUCCAUGUUGAAGCUGCCUUCAACAUGGAUGCUGUCCAGGAGGUGGGAGGGUCUGGGAGGGAGGGUCUGCUGGAGAUUGGCUGGGCUGUGUCAG